rnacentral:snRNA from 1 species
AGCUUCCCGCGGUGGCGUAUAUAUCAUAGCCAGUGAGGUUUAUCCGGGGCGUGAUGAUUGCUAAAUUGAAAACUUUUCCCAAUUCCCCACCGAGACGGUCGGCAUUGGCAAUUUUUGGCAGUCUCUACGGCAACUGUAUUUGAAAAAGA